rnacentral:rRNA from 1 species
AGCGAACGCUGGCGGCAGGCCUAACACAUGCAAGACGAACGAACUCUUCGGAGUUAGUGGCGGACGGGUGAGUAACACGUGGGAACGUGCCUUUUGGUUCGGAAUAACUCAGGGAAACUUGUGCUAAUACCGAAUGUGCCCUUCGGGGGAAAGAUUUAUCGCCAUUAGAGCGGCCCGCGUCUGAUUAGCUAGUUGGUGAGGUAACGGCUCACCAAGGCGACGAUCAGUAGCUGGUCUGAGAGGAUGACCAGCCACACUGGGACUGAGACACGGCCCAGACUCCUACGGGAGGCAGCAGUGGGGAAUCUUGCGCAAUGGGCGAAAGCCUGACGCAGCCAUGCCGCGUGAAUGAUGAAGGUCUUAGGAUUGUAAAAUUCUUUCACCGGGGACGAUAAUGACGGUACCCGGAGAAGAAGCCCCGGCUAACUUUGUG